GGGGGUGUAGCUCAGUGGUGGAGCGCAUGCUUAGCAUGCGUGAGGUCCUGGGGUCAAGCCCUAGUACCUCCA
rnacentral:tRNA from 1 species